rnacentral:rRNA from 1 species
GACGAACGCUGGCGGCGUGCUUAACACAUGCAAGUCGAACGGAAAGGCCCUGCUUUUGUGGGGUGCUCGAGUGGCGAACGGGUGAGUAACACGUGAGUAACCUGCCCUUGACUUUGGGAUAACUUCAGGAAACUGGGGCUAAUACCGGAUAGGAGCUCCUGCUGCAUGGUGGGGGUUGGAAAGUUUCGGCGGUUGGGGAUGGACUCGCGGCUUAUCAGCUUGUUGGUGGGGUAGUGGCUUACCAAGGCUUUGACGGGUAGCCGGCCUGAGAGGGUGACCGGCCACAUGGGGACUGAGAUACGGCCCAGACUCCUACGGGAGGCAGCAGUGGGGAAUAUUGCACAAUGGGCGGAAGCCUGAUGAAGCAACGCCGCGUGCGGGAUGACGGCCUGCGGGUUGUAAACCGCUUUCGCCUGUGACGAAGCGUGAGUGACGGUAAUGGGUAAAGAAGCACCGGCUAACUACGUG